UGGGGAAUAUUGCACAAUGGGCGCAAGCCUGAUGCAGCCAUGCCGCGUGUAUGAAGAAGGCCUUCGGGUUGUAAAGUACUUUCAGCGGGGAGGAAGGGAGUAAAGUUAAUACCUUUGCUCAUUGACGUUACCCGCAGAAGAAGCACCGGCUAACUCCGUGCCAGCAGCCGCGGUAAUACGGAGGGUGCAAGCGUUAAUCGGAAUUACUGGGCGUAAAGCGCACGCAGGCGGUUUGUUAAGUCAGAUGUGAAAUCCCCGGGCUCAACCUGGGAACUGCAUCGGAUACUGGCAAGCUUGAGUCUCGUAGAGGGGGGUAGAAUUCCAGGUGUAGCGGUGAAAUGCGUAGAGAUCUGGAGGAAUACCGGUGGCGAAGGCGGCCCCCUGGACGAAGACUGACGCUCAGGUGCGAAAGCGUGGGGAGCAAACAGG
rnacentral:rRNA from 2 species